rnacentral:rRNA from 1 species
UACGUAGGGGGCAAGCGUUGUCCGGAUUUAUUGGGCGUAAAGAGCGUGUAGGCGGCCAGGUAGGUCCGUUGUGAAAACUCGAGGCUCAACCUCGAGACGUCGAUGGAAACCAUCUGGCUAGAGUCCGGAAGAGGAGAGUGGAAUUCCUGGUGUAGCGGUGAAAUGCGCAGAUAUCGGGAAGAACACCCGUGGCGAAGGCGGUUCUCUGGGACGGUACUGACGCUGAGACGCGAAAGCGUGGGGAGCGAACAGG